CCUACGGGAGGCAGCAGUGGGGGAUAUUGCACAAUGGGGGAAACCCUGAUGCAGCGACGCCGCGUGUGGGAAGACGGUCCUCUGGAUUGUAAACCACUGUCCCCAGGGACGAAGAUGACGGUACCUGGGGAGGAAGCUCCGGCUAACUACGUGCCAGCAGCCGCGGUAAUACGUAGGGAGCGAGCGUUGUCCGGAUUUACUGGGUGUAAAGGGAGCGUAGACGGCAGCACAAGUCUGGAGUGAAAUGCCGGGGCUUAACCCCGGAACUGCUUUGGAAACUGUGCAGCUAGAGUGCAGGAGAGGUAAGUGGAAUUCCUAGUGUAGCGGUGAAAUGCGUAGAUAUUAGGAGGAACACCAGUGGCGAAGGCGGCUUACUGGACUGUAACUGACGUUGAGGCCCGAAAGCGUGGGGAGCAAACAGGAUUAGAUACCCCUGUAGUC
rnacentral:rRNA from 1 species